GGUACCUAGCUCGCGCGAAUCACACACUAGCAAGGUCAUUGAUCUUCGAAGCUGAUUUUCUGAUACACUACUAGGCUCGUUGAAACUCUUAUAGGGUUUGGAGACGCUCCCGAAGGAGUUUUCCCGAGACGUGGUGGUCUUGACGUGAGUUCGUUGCUGAAGGGAGAGGAUCGCUCGAGGUGCUUGUCGAGGACGUCGUUGAUUCGCUUGCGAUCCUCCGAUUUGGAGGAAACGGACACUCCUCCUCGCUCUUUGUACAUGAUAGUUACCGAAUCAUGGUGGGAAA